AAUUAUUAUCUUAGCCCUAGUAGCUUAUAUAAUAGCGCUG
rnacentral:tRNA from 1 species